rnacentral:rRNA from 1 species
UACGAAGGGGGCUAGCGUUGCUCGGAAUCACUGGGCGUAAAGCGCACGUAGGCGGCUUACUAAGUCAGGGGUGAAAUCCUGGAGCUCAACUCCAGAACUGCCUUUGAUACUGGUGAGCUUGAGUCCGGAAGAGGUGAGUGGAACUGCGAGUGUAGAGGUGAAAUUCGUAGAUAUUCGCAAGAACACCAGUGGCGAAGGCGGCUCACUGGUCCGGUACUGACGCUGAGAAGCGAAAGCAUGGGGAGCGAACAGG